UUGAUCAUGGCUCAGAUUGAACGCUGGCGGCAGGCCUAACACAUGCAAGUCGAACGGUAACAGGAAGCAGCUUGCUGCUUUGCUGACGAGUGGCGGACGGGUGAGUAAUGUCUGGGAAACUGCCUGAUGGAGGGGGAUAACUACUGGAAACGGUGGCUAAUACCGCAUAACGUCGCAAGACCAAAGAGGGGGACCUUCGGGCCUCUUGCCAUCAGAUGUGCCCAGAUGGGAUUAGCUUGUUGGUGAGGUAACGGCUCACCAAGGCGACGAUCCCUAGCUGGUCUGAGAGGAUGACCAGCCACACUGGAACUGAGACACGGUCCAGACUCCUACGGGAGGCAGCAGUGGGGAAUAUUGCACAAUGGGCGCAAGCCUGAUGCAGCCAUGCCGCGUGUAUGAAGAAGGCCUUCGGGUUGUAAAGUACUUUCAGCGGGGAGGAAGGUGUUGUGGUUAAUAACCGCAGCAAUUGACGUUACCCGCAGAAGAAGCACCGGCUAACUCCGUGCCAGCAGCCGC
rnacentral:rRNA from 1 species